rnacentral:lncRNA from 1 species
GCUUGGUAGAGCUAUAGACUCUUGGGCCCAGCCCAGACCUCCUAAAUCAGAAGCUGCAUUUUGAUAAUAUUAAGGUUAGAGAAGCACAGCACUUGGAUGACUCUCAGGGCUAUGGUUUGGGUGACUUGAUGGAUGGUGGUGUCAUUUGCAAGAUAGGGCAGGGCUGAGAUAGGAUGAGUCAGAGGAACACUUCAUGGCCAGCACUGAAAUGAGAGUAUGACAUGGCAGGAAAGGCUUUCAUCUGAGCCGAGAACAAUAGCAAUGUGAAGCUUAGUGGAAUUACGAGUCUACAUUUUCACCUGGAAUGCUGAGAUAACAUGUGCAUCUGUCUUCACAUUCAUAGCAAUCACAUGGUGAAUGGUAUGGAUGCUCCCAUCCUUCACCAGCAGCCUUUGUUAAGAAUUUCAAGGGCAGCCCCGGUGGCGCAGCGGUUUAGCACCGCCUGAAGCCCGGGGUGUGAUCCUGGAGUCCCGGGAUCGAGUCCCACGUCAGGCUUCCUGCAUGGAGCCUGCUUCUCCCUCUGCCUGUGUCUCUGCCUCUCUCUCUCUGAAUAAAUAAAUCUUAAAAAAAAAAAAAAAAGAAUUUCAAGAAUAGCACUGGAAAUUGUUUUCUAUCUCAGCCACAGCUGCCUCUGAUGGAGAGUGGCCUGGCUAUUGUCUAAAUGAGGCCCAAGUGUGAAUGGUAAAGCCCAUGAUUAUGAAAGUCUUCAGGUUUUUGCAGAGCUCGGCCAAAGUGAAUGUCACAGCAUAGGGUAAUGUUGAAGUGGUUUUUGGAGGAAGAAAUUACAUCGUUAUUGCUUACAUUUCAAGAAGUUUACUCUGGAAGUUAUAAGAGUAUAAAUCGGAGGCACAGCAUCAUGAUUUGGG